UUCAUGGAGGAUGAAGAGGCGGCCGCCGGUGAUGUAAGAAGAACCGUUAAGGGACCAGAAAAUUAAAAAUUAAAGAAGAAUAAAGGAGAGAGGGAGAUAUUAACGGAAAUGUGUGGGAGAGCAGAGAGUAGAGAGCCAAUGGGAGAGUGUUGGCAGACUGGAGACUGUGACUUUUGGGAGAAAAUAAUUAUUAACAAAAUC
rnacentral:lncRNA from 1 species